CCUACGGGGGGCUGCAGUGGGGAAUAUUGGACAAUGGGGGCAACCCUGAUCCAGCCAUGCCGCGUGUGUGAAGAAGGCCCUCGGGUUGUAAAGCACUUUCAGUGAGGAAGAACGCCUGGUGGUUAAUACCCAUCAGGAAAGACAUCACUCACAGAAGAAGCACCGGCUAACUCCGUGCCAGCAGCCGCGGUAAUACGGAGGGUGCGAGCGUUAAUCGGAAUUACUGGGCGUAAAGCGCGCGUAGGUGGCUUGAUAAGCCGGUUGUGAAAGCCCCGGGCUCAACCUGGGAACGGCAUCCGGAACUGUCAAGCUAGAGUGCAGGAGAGGAAGGUAGAAUUCCCGGUGUAGCGGUGAAAUGCGUAGAGAUCGGGAGGAAUACCAGUGGCGAAGGCGGCCUUCUGGACUGACACUGACUCUGAGGUGCGAAAGCGUGGGUAGCAAACAGGAUUAGAUACCCGGGUAGUC
rnacentral:rRNA from 1 species